UACGAAGGGUGCAAGCGUUACUCGGAAUUACUGGGCGUAAAGGGUGCGUAGGUGGUCGUUUAAGUCCGUUGUGAAAUCCCUGGGCUCAACCUGGGAAUGGCAGUGGAUACUGUACGGCUAGAAUGCGGUAGAGGGUAGUGGAAUUCCCGGUGUAGCAGUGAAAUGCGUAGAGAUCGGGAGGAACACCAGUGGCGAAGGCGGCUCACUGGACCACGACUGACGCUGAGGCGCGAAAGCUAGGGGAGCAAACAGG
rnacentral:rRNA from 1 species